rnacentral:hammerhead_ribozyme from 1 species
GUAUCGCUGAAGAGUCCUAGACAGGGACGAAACAGAUGUCCAGUAC